rnacentral:lncRNA from 1 species
AGGGCAGCAUGUAACUUUAAAUCAAAAUAAGAGGCAGAAUAACAGAGGGUCUCACAUCUGGCUUCCUGACUCAGUAUCAGAAUAUCUUACAAGGCCUCAAAAAGAAGCUAUCAAAGAGGCAUAAAGGAAACAAUAAACAUGAAAAGAACAAUAGGAUAUUUGAAAAGGAGAAAAAUAUCUCAGCCAGCAGAGACUGACAUUUUUAUGACGGCUACCCUGAGAAAAAUACA